AUGAACGCUAGCUACAGGCUUAACACAUGCAAGUCGAGGGGCAUCAGGAAGAAAGCUUGCUUUCUUUGCUGGCGACCGGCGCACGGGUGAGUAACACGUAUCCAACCUGCCCUUUACUCGGGGAUAGCCUUUCGAAAGAAAGAUUAAUACCCGAUAGCAUAAUGAUUCCGCAUGGUUUCAUUAUUAAAGGAUUCCGGUAAAGGAUGGGGAUGCGUUCCAUUAGGUUGUUGGUGAGGUAACGGCCCACCAAGCCUUCGAUGGAUAGGGGUUCUGAGAGGAAGGUCCCCCACAUUGGAACUGAGACACGGUCCAAACUCCUACGGGAGGCAGCAGUGAGGAAUAUUGGUCAAUGGGCGCUAGCCUGAACCAGCCAAGUAGCGUGAAGGAUGAAGGCUCUAUGGGUCGUAAACUUCUUUUAUAUAAGAAUAAAGUGCAGUAUGUAUACUGUUUUGUAUGUAUUAUAUGAAUAAGGAUCGGCUAACUCCGUGCCAGCAGCCGCGGUAAUACGGAGGAUCCGAGCGUUAUCCGGAUUUAUUGGGUUUAAAGGGAGCGUAGGUGGACUGGUAAGUCAGUUGUGAAAGUUUGCGGCUCAACCGUAAAAUUGCAGUUGAUACUGUCAGUCUUGAGUACAGUAGAGGUGGGCGGAAUUCGUGGUGUAGCGGUGAAAUGCUUAGAUAUCACGAAGAACUCCGAUUGCGAAGGCAGCUCACUGGACUUGCACUGACACUGAUGCUCGAAAGUGUGGGUAUCAAACAGGAUUUAGAUACCCUGGUAGUCCACACAGUAAACGAUGAAUACUCGCUGUUUGCGAUAUACAGUAAGCGGCCAAGCGAAAGCAUUAAGUAUUCCACCUGGGGGAGUACGCCGGCAACGGUGAAACUCAAAGGAAUUGACGGGGGCCCGCACAAGCGGAGGAACAUGUGGUUUAAUUCGAUGAUACGCGAGGAACCUUACCCGGGCUUAAAUUGCAGUGGAAUGAUGUGGAAACAUGUCAGUGAGCAAUCACCGCUGUGAAGGUGCUGCAUGGUUGUCGUCAGCUCGUGCCGUGAGGUGUCGGCUUAAGUGCCAUAACGAGCGCAACCCUUAUCUUUAGUUACUAACAGGUUAUGCUGAGGACUCUAGAGAGACUGCCGUCGUAAGAUGUGAGGAAGGUGGGGAUGACGUCAAAUCAGCACGGCCCUUACGUCCGGGGCUACACACGUGUUACAAUGGGGGGUACAGAAGGCAGCUAGCGGGUGACCGUAUGCUAAUCCCAAAAUCCUCUCUCAGUUCGGAUCGAAGUCUGCAACCCGACUUCGUGAAGCUGGAUUCGCUAGUAAUCGCGCAUCAGCCACGGCGCGGUGAAUACGUUCCCGGGCCUUGUACACACCGCCCGUCAAGCCAUGGGAGCCGGGGGUACCUGAAGUACGUAACCGCAAGGAUCGUCCUAGGGUAAAACUGGUGACUGGGGCUAAGUCG
rnacentral:rRNA from 1 species